UCCAGUAAAUAAAAUCUUGAUCAUCUUACCCAUGAGAUAAGAUUCAUAAGUUCCAUAUAAUUCAAAAUCAUAAGGAUCAAAAAAUUUAUCUUUGUAUAACUUGUUAAUUCUUGACUCAUUUAUAAGACAAGUCAGCAGUGCCAGAGGUAUGUGACAUUUACAUCUUCUCUUUUCUUUUUCUUUAUAUUAUCAACAUGAAGUACAUUAUCAUUAAGU
rnacentral:lncRNA from 1 species